rnacentral:rRNA from 1 species
CACGUAGGGUGCGAGCGUUGUCCGGGAUUAUUGGGCGUAAAGAGCUCGUAGGCGGUGUGUCGCGUCGGCCGUGAAAACCUGUGGCUUAACUAUGGGCUUGCGGUCGAUACGGGCAUCACUGGAGUUCGGCAGGGGAGACUGGAAUUCCUGGUGUAGCGGUGAAAUGCGCAGAUAUCAGGAGGAACACCGGUGGCGAAGGCGGGUCUCUGGGCCGAUACUGACGCUGAGGAGCGAAAGCGUGGGGAGCGAACAGG